CACCUUCCCUGUAAAACAAAUCCCCCAUUUUCUCUCUCUUCUUUUUCGUCUUUAUCACUCCAAAUUUAACUAUAUAUUUUCUUUGUUCCAGAUUUCAAUCUUACUCAUAAUCAAUCAAUUCUUCAAUUACAAUUUCAUCAAACUUUUUUCCUUCUUAAUUAUAAAAGAUGUUUUAAUCCUUUGUUAUUUUUCUGGUGUUCUUGGAUACUACUAGUGUUUGUAAAAGUUUUUUAGUGGUUUAUUGAACAAUUAAUCAAGACUGGCGAGUUUGGAGGUUUAGUAAAUGGCGGGUCAGCUUGGUCUACGCCAACCAUUUCUUGGGUUGAAAGCCAUUAGAGUUCAAAUUUUCGGGUUUAGAAGCUUUAUUUUGGGAGUUCGGUAUUCAAAGUUAUCUUCUGUGAAAGAAAAAGAAGAAGAAGAACGGAGCGUGGUUAGAGUGCAAUUCGACCAUAGUUUCUCUGUCUAAUUAAUUUUCUAUGGUGUUCCGUUGAAGAAUUUGCAGCCCGUUAUUUAUCGAUUAUCGAGUAUGUUAUAUUCGGAAAGGGUGAGCAGUCAAGAUUGAUUGGAGCCGAUUGAUCAUGAAGGAUCGCAGUUACAAGUUGAAGGAUCUCAAGUAUUAUCGUUUAGUCUUUUAUGACAGUUUAAUGUUUUUCAGUUGUACAGUUGUAAAUAGAUCACCUAGUAAUCGAAUUGUAACAGUUUGAGUUUUGUAAGCCUUAGCACUUGACAAUGUAGUCAAGUGUGGCGGUGAUACCUCCGAUAUAGGUGUAAGCUUCCGCAAAAUUUUUAUAAAGUCUAUAUAUCUCUUUUUUAUU